GGUACACGUUACAUACAUCGCUCACUCCGUCACACGGUACAUUUAGGCCACACGUGCCAAGUCAUUGCCACACAAUGAACCAGCGCCGCGAGGAUUUUGAAGGCCCCUGGUAGACAUUACAUACAUCGCAUAAUUCAUUGGUCAGUCGUGCAAUACAUUUAGAGCAGCUGCGCGUGUCAAGUCAUCGAACCGGACAGGUGAGGAUUUCUGAGGGCCCUGCGCCACGUCACAUACAUCGCGCUGUUCGCUGGUCCGUCACACGGCUCGUUUAGGGGGCCACAUCGUCGCCACGCGAUAAGCCGGCCAGGCGAGGAUUUCUGAGGGCCGGUCGCUGGUCCGAGACAGGCCGCACGUGAGGCGCUCGAUCAAGCUUUAUGAAGCAGCGAUUAACCACUUCUUCAGCGAAUCUUCAACUGCAGGCUGUGGUGCAUGGGCAGAACAGGGAAUUUCCCUCAGUGUUACACCAGUAGCCUCCGCAGUUAUAUUAAGUCCAGCCUCUUCAACCAUCACAACCAAAUGACUAUGAUCUUGGUCCAUCUCUUCUUCUUUUUGACAUGCAUCCACAAACUUUCAGAUGUCCCAAAAAGUACAUCAAGGUCCAGAGCCUUCUCCACAACCAGAUGACUGUGACUGUCCCUUGUAGCGGAUCAGAGACAGAUCCAUUUGUCAUCCAAACAGAGGUCAAACAAGGAAGUGUCAUCGCCCCAACUCUGUUCUCCAUUUUUUUGACAAUCACCCUGUUCUCAUUAAGGACUGGCUCCCUUCUGGAACUGACACUGAAUACUGAAUGGAUGGAGGGCUCUUCAGUCUGGGACCCUUUUGCUCAAAGACCAAAGUAUUCAAACCAACCAUCCUUUUCAAUAUGUGCCCUCUUUGCACACACUGAGGAAAACCUCCAGACUGUGCUGGAUCUCUCUGCAGAAGGCUACCAAACUUGGGCCUCUCUCUUAACAUCAAGAAGACUAAAGUGCUCUGUCAGCCUUCUCCAGGCCAUGAAUGUGACCCCCCCACUCCCCAAAUUACCAUUGAGCGAAGCACCCUGGAGGUGGUCAAGCACUUCCCCUACUUUGGCAGCCACCUCUCUCAAUGAGGAGAUCCAGCACAGAAUCCAGUGCACAAGUGUCUCCUUCAGGAAAUUGUUUCAGCAUGUCUUUAUUGAUUGCAAUCCCCAGAAAGACACCAAGAUCCAGGUCUGCAAUGAAGUUAUCAUCCCCACACUCCUCUAUGGAUGUGAAACAUGGGUGACCUACUGUUGUCAUCUCAAGAGCCUGGAGUGGUGUCACCAAUGAUGCCUCUGGAAAAUCUUCCAUAUCAAAUAGGAAGAUCACCGCACAAACACCAGCUUCCUUGCUGAAGCCAGUUUUACCGGCAUUGAGUUGAUGAUCCUCAAGCACCAAUUUUGCUGGACUGGACAUUGUGUGCAGAUGCCUGACUUGACUCCCAAAACAAGUGCUCUGCUCCCAGCUUAACUGAGGCCUGAGAUCUCGUGGUGGCUGGAAGAAAAACUACAAGGACACAUUGAAGGCCUCCGUCAAGAAAAGAGAUGCUGACAUCAAGAGCUGGGAGGAGCUGGCUGCCAACAGACUCCCAUGGCGCCACAUCCUCACCCAAUUAUCGCGUGAUAAUUAUUUUGCAUGUGUGGCUGGUCUAUUGUGCGUUGAACCGCGUGUCUGCAGUCCAUGGGCAGCAGGUUUCAGUGAUGCCGUGAAGGCCUUGCCUCUCUCCGAGGUCCUGAAUCCGACUUCCUGCCCCCGUCGCUCUUCUGGGCCUCCUGAUAACAAAGCUUUUCAUGCGUGAACGUUACACGGAGAUGGAGGGUUGUUCCAGGCUCAGCAUUGUUGUCGUCAUUCGGCAUCCCAGGUUACCUGCUGAAUUGCACUGAUUUCUGUGGAUGGAUAGUUCCUAGGGGCCGUUUGAUAGCCUCGUGCUGCACAGUAAGGGAGGCUUGCGGUGUGUGCACAUUUGCUGCAGAGGUCACAACUCUUCAGAGCUCUAACAACAUUAUCCAUUUUGGGCCUGAUCCACUGGUAACACUUCUAGGGACUUAAGAGAGUUUUCCAGGCCCUCACUGUCUUUUACGUAGCUCCAGAAAGAUAUCCAUAUAAAACUCCUGACCAUCAAGGCAAUAUUCCCCUCCCACCUGCCCCCACUAUUUUUUAUGCAACUACAAAGCAUCCUGAGAUGGUAGCAUCACCAGGUCAUUUCAGUGAUCAAUCAUAGUUCAGGGGAAUUGCUGCUUGCACUGAAAUGAUUGCUUUUUUAAAUGCAAUAUCUCAAUUAAACUGUUUCAUAUUUAUAGCAAAGUAAUAGCUAGUCAUUUCCAGGACCAGAUUUUGCUAGGAUCUGUACAGACCUAUGAGACGAGCUCCAAACUGCUUGCUAUCUACUUGAUAUUCUCCUUCAGCAAAUACUGUGGGAAAUGUUUGGUGUUAUAUGAUAUUCCAUACAGCAGAUGCAAAUGGAUUCUAUUUUAAUAAUCUUCAAUACUGUAGUCUUAAUGCCAUGUAGAAAGUGAUUGGACAAACAGCCUGUACAUUGGAAGAAUGAAUACAGCUGGAUUAGAUUCUGGGCUAGCUGAAGUUGAUUUAAUUAUGAAAUAGCAGGUUUUGAUUAUAUGAUACCUGGCUUUACCUACGGUGAUAUUUAGAGGUAUCUUCUGCAACCCUAAUGGAAAUGGUCCCAAAACAGGAUAGGGUGAAGUCAAUAGGGUCCUGUACAAAUCACUCGUAAAAUGUGCAUCUAUAUUUUAAUAUACAAUGAGGUUCUUCUGAAAGUCUGGGGGGCCUUAAGCAUGUUGCAGAUUUCUAUAGCAAGAUUAUUUUUCCUAUUAAUUCUAUCAAGGUGGUCAAAAAAUACCUAGAAAGAUGCUUAUUUUCCAUUCAAUGCUAUAAGGCGUUUCCAUCACAUUGUCUGCUUUGCUGGUUCUCUAAUAGGAUCUCCUGUCAGAGAUUUACAAGGCAGUCUCCAGACCGUACUUUUUUUUGCUUUGAAAGAGCUGCAUCGUCAUAGUAGGAGGUGUGGGCCUAGGUCAAACCCAGCCUGCUGAGUGCUGCAGUGACAUCGAUUGGUGCCCCCCUCAUCGAACCAGAGAUGUGGCCCUUUAUGUUUACCGGUCCCAGCAUGCAUUGCUUCAUUUUAAUCAGAUUGGCUUGUAUGAAAAGUAGCUUUAAAGGUUGCCUUUUCUAAAGUGGGAGAGUGGUCACAAAUAAAAAGUGACCUGAUUAGGGGUCCUGUUUAAGCAAAUGUAACCAGUCUACGUGAGCAGAAGACACCUUCUUUAAUUAGAGUUUGGCUGCAACCCAUGCUGAACAAUCACCACACCACUGUCACUCAAACCAAGUUGCUGGAAAAGCAGCCUCAUUUCAUCCAUGUGGCACUAAAUCCCAUUUCAGAGCAAGGAAGCAGAAAAUACUUUGAACUUCAUCACCUCUCAGGACCUGUAACCUCUGAAAUGGAGACUACUGUACUUUACAGGAUCACAGAGCAGGGCUGGUCAGAGAGGCCGAUGUUCAUAGUUUAGUUCAGAAAAAUGCCUUAUAGAAAAAAAAAGAGAAGGAAAAAGUGAAGAGUACUAAAUGGGAUGGUGUGUAGGACAUGGGGGCAGAGCUUUUUGCAAGAAACUGGUGGAUGCAGGCAGUGUGUCUCAUACUGUAUUUUCCUGCAUACAACAUUCCCCAGAAUAUAAUACAUUGUUUUUAAGGGCAGAAUGAAGAAUUUUUUUUUUCCAGAAUUAUGGCCACAUAGGAAAGGGACAGGGGCCUAAUCUUCAGCUGACUCACCUUCCUUUGCCAAUUUAGGCUAUUAAAUAGGUGGAGAGAGACCAGGAGCAGCUAGCAGACAGGAAAAUUGCCUUAAGAAAGUUUAGUGCAAUUAGCAGGCCAUUAAAAAGGAGAAAGCUGUAAAUACCUGUGGAGGGGAGAACAAUGACCCAUUAAGUCAACUGAUUCCCUUAGCUGCCUCAAUAGUAAUGCUACAGCUCCUGUGCUGUGGAGCAGGAAUCAAAGCAAGGCGCUUCUAUCCUGGGCAGAAAAUCAGCUUCCCCACUUAAUACACACAUACCAAUUUUGGGGGACUGAUCUUUUGGGGAAAGGUGAGUAUUGUUUGUGAAAAAAUAUGGUAUUUAGUACUCAUCUUAAUCAUCCCCAUCCCAGAGCAGAGAGGGAGAAGAAUGCCAUCAGAUCCUACCCAGGAGGGAGGCUAUAGCCCCGGGUGCUGAAAUGAAGUCUCAGAGAAUUAGAGGAAAGAGGAGAGCAGUAUUUUAUAUACAAGUGGAGCUAUUAUCUAAUAAACCACAGCUAAUUGAAUCAGCCAGUAAUCAUGACCAGACAGCUGUGCUGCUGUACCAACAAGGAAGGUAUUUUUACUAAGUAUUAUUUGACCUGUAGAAGCAUCUCAGGGUCAUAAAUCAGACCCCCUUGCACCUGAUCCUGUACGAAUACAUAGCUAAAUGCUGUGAGAGGGCAGGGAAGUUAUACUUGUUUGCCUCUGCCUCUCACCUGGUGAUCUCCACUUGCCCAUCUUUCUUUAAGAUGCCCAUUCUCCAGCCCCAUAAUGAGCAUCCAUCUGACUGGGUCAGGAGUCAUCUAUGAUGUGCCUUACGUGGCUAAAGGGGACCAUGCUGGAGCAAAGCAUGGCAUUCCUUUCCAAUUCGUGCAACAUCAUGGGAUGAAUUUCAGUAUCUUGAGUACUCACAGUUAUUGCAUGCCACACUGAUGAAUGGCAGGGUGAGCAGUCAAUGCAAGUCUAUUGAAAUUUAUGGGCUUACCCCAGCUUGCAGCCUUUCCACAUGUCACCAGUGUCAUUCACUUUGCUGCCAGUGGCUGUCCUCACGUUAUAUAUUUAAUAGGUCAUGUGAAACAAGAAGGUAGGGCAGGGAGGAGGAAGAGGCAGAAUGAAGUACCAGUGAGGUUUUUCCAUGGCAGACAUAUUGCAACAUCUCAUCAUGAAAGACAAGGUAAUGUGUUCCAGUGCUUCACCACCCCUCUAGUGAGAAAGUUUUUCCUAAUAUCCAACCUCAACUUCCUGCUGCAACGUGAGCCCAUUGCUCCUUGUCCUGUAUCUGCCCUCACUGAGAGCAGCCCAGCUCCAUCCUCUUUGCAACCCGCCUGCAGGGAGGUGAAGGCUGCUAUUCAAUCCCAACUUGGUCUUCUCUUCUGCAGGCUAAAUCAGCCCAGUUCCCUCGGCCUCUCCUCACCAGUCCUGUCCCCCAGCCCCACGACCAUUUUUGUUGCCCUCCGCUGGACUCCCUCCAACGCGUCCACAUCCUUUCUGUAGUGGGGGCCACAGCUGGACACAGGACUCCAGAUGUGGCUCCCCCCAAUGCUGAAUAGAGGGGAAGAAUCACUGCCCUCCAUCUGCUGGCAACACUCCUACCCAUGCAGCCCAGGAUACUGUUAAGUUUCAUCACAGAGAUAAUGCAGAUGCUGACAGACAAGCCCUCAGGCUGGGUGGAACCUCUUGUGGAUCACCAGUGGCAUCAUCUUCGUGGCAUCAUCCUUCAGCAGUCUCUGCGGAUAGUCCAACCUCCCCUGUGCCAGCUGCAGCCAUGCCAGAGCCUCUCUAGGCAGGUGGUUCCAAACAUUGCAAUGUCAUUUUCCCUUUAAUGAUCAGUCUGUAUUUUCUGUGCUACAGAUUCAGUUUGUUCCUCCUAGCUUUGUCACUGACUGACAACAUGAUCUUUGCCCUCUCCACAAAAAUUCCUUGACAUUAUUUGUGAAAAAGGCAGGCCAUGGGAGUAAAUUGUUCUUAAUGUUA